rnacentral:lncRNA from 1 species
GGCUUUUAGUGCUUCGCCAUUUGACUGAUCUGUCAAGGAAGGAGGAACACGAACGAAGCAGAUAGAGUGCAUGUCGGCAGGCAAGCACGAAGGCUCGCAGGUAGUAAGAAAUCCGGCGAUUGCGGAUCCGUUGCUGGUGAAUGGAGCGUCUACGGGGAUCGACGAGGCCGAAGAAAGAAGAUGGGAAGAAGCAGCGAGGCUCUAUUCCUACUCCGAUGAUGAGAUACGAUCAUACGAAGGCGGACGGGGAAUCGGUCUGAUUGAAGCGACGCGAGCAGCAACAACAGUGCAGGGGAGGCUUUGGUGGUCGUUGGUCGAUAGGAGCAGAAGAGAGAGUCCGAGGGGAGGAGGUCAGAACAAAAUACGGAACAAUGAGCGCCUCUGUGUGGGGUUGAUUUGAAGAAAGGAGGGCGAAGCAGCAACUGUCGUCGAUCUCGGUGGGGGAGGCAAUGGGUUGCUGAGCAGCUCUCGGUUUGUUCUCUUCCGGUUCUGGCUUUAUGUGAGCUGGGUAGAAGCUGAAGAAGGUAACGAAUUCAGGUGUAUUUAGCAAUUUCGAUUGACAGGAGAAGAAGAAGAAGAAGAAGAAGAAGAAGAAGAAGAAGAAUACGAUGCUGCUCCGGCAUCUUCUUUGCUCCUUUUUUUUUCCGAUCAGGAAUGUUGAAGCAAGAGGAGAGGAAACAAGUACUGGGGGGUGAAGCAAGAGGUUCAACCUCUCGUUUCUUACUGGGAAAAUAACACCUCCAAAGGAGGUGUUCUGGCUGAUUCACGAAACAAAUAAAUAAUAAUAAUAAUAAUAAUAAUAAUAAACUGGGAAAAUAACACCUCCAAAGGAGGUGUUCUUGGCUGAUUCACGAAACAAAAAAAAAAAAAAAGAAAUAAGGAGCGUGUUGAGUGUUUUAAUUGGUUAAAGAAAGAGUGUAAGUAAAGCUUUAAUUAGACAGGCAAAUUGAGUGUAGAAUUGAUGUAGAUAUAGAAGCAACAAUGGGAAUGAUUUUCAUCAGAUCUUUGGGAGACUUUUGGUGUUCUUUGGAAGACUUUUAUGGAUUUCUUUGUAUUUUGAAAUCUAGGAAUUUAUCUUGAAAGUACAUAGCAUUAUUGCUUCAUUUGUGUAUGUAAGAAGGUAACAAGAUUUUGAGGCUUGGAGGGGUUUAAAAGUUGGACACAAGUAUUAGACGAAUUUUUAUAAUACCAUACACAAUAUGUGUUAUUGGUUUUUCUAAAGUCAUAUACAUGUGUGUAUUUGUUUAAAGGUUUAGAAAAUUAUCAUAUAUCCACAUAACUAUUAUACUUUCGUAUUAUAAGUUGGUUGUAUAUGUAUCAUUAUAAUAUAUGAAGAAAUUGAGUAUUACAUGUACAAAGUCAAACUUAUAACACAUAAUUGAAAUUGGUCCUUGAAAAUCACAUAUGGCCUUAUAUAUAACCAUGUAAUUUGUUAAUAAAUAUCGUACAUACAUUAUUGUUAUUUGAUUUCCAUUUGAUAAAUAUAUAUAUAUAUAGUAAUCACCCAUUUAAUUGUUUAUAAUUAUGUUUUAUACUCGUAAUUAUAUAGUUGCACCUGAUUUUAGAAAUAUUGCGUCAUUUACAUCUUUAAAAUUCACAUCAAUCUUAUUGGACCUUUACAUCAUUUCCGGAAUACAUUACCAAUAAUAGAAAUCAAUAGUUCAAGGUUUUGCGAUUAAAUGAUUCAAAACGUCUUAUUUUUUUACAUUUAUAAAUAUUUUUAUUGAAAAUAUUUCAAGUAUGAAAUGAAAUAUUAGACUAUAGCCCGAGUCGAAAAAUGUUCUCGAAAUUUCCAUCUGAAGUGUGCAAGUCUUCAACGGAUGGAAACAGUUUUAGCAGUUAUAAGAAAAUCAGUAUUUUAGUGGGUUGGAUUCUUAAAAGGGUCAUAUCUCUUGCAUACGAACUUCAUUUUGGACGUUCUUUAUAUUUUAGGAAACAAGGAAACAUAUACGACAAGACGAGAAUGUUUGCUUUGCACACAACUGCUUAAUACGAAAUUUUAGUUUUUAGACGCAUUAACUAGGGUUGGAGUUUGAGUUGUAUGAUUCGUUUGCUAAUUUACACAUUUGGAAGUAAGAUAUCAUAUGGUAUCUUAUAAUAGUUGAAAUGAACUCAUUUAUUUUACAUUAGAUGCACUAAAACUCAAUGAGUCAAUUUACAAAGAGAUUUACUGUGAAUUGAUCGUCUACAGUCUUUGACCUAAAUUCUUGGAUGUCACAAUCUCCUUACUGAACUGCCUCCCUUAAAUUGAUCUCUUCGGACUCCAUUUGAUCUGCUUUCCUGAUAACGUUUGACAAUAAGUGUAGCAUGGGCAAUAAGUUCAUCAUAAAUUUCAUCACUACUCCCUUGACCCUGAACUGAGUCAUCUGAGUCGCUGAUGAGAUUCUUUGCCUCGUUCCGAGAAACCAAAGCUACAGACUUUUCUUUGCUUGAGUCCUUUAGGAUCUCUUUAUGAAGAGCUUGAUGGGUUUUAGCCAUAAGAACUUUCCUAUGUGCGCAUGCAAAACCCUAAUGCUCGGAUCUAGGCUUUCUAAUUAAACAUGCUUUGAAUCCAAGACUUCUAAUAACUAUUUAGGCUAAAUAACAACAUUGAAACAGAUCUAGAAUCAUACCUUUGAAUUCCUUGUUGACCUUGUUGUCUUGGAGCUUCUAGAGUCACAAAUGUCACUCCUCUAAUGGCUUACAAACACCAAAGCAAAAAGAAUGAUUUAAGAGAGAGGAGAGGGGAGGAAUUUCGACCAGAGGUUCCUUACUUUAGGUCAAGUGUCGAAUUCCAUCAGCCAUAGGAUCUAUUUAUACUUGUAGACUCCUUAAGGGUUACAACCUAAACCCUAAUUGGAUAAUCUUCUCUUAAGGCUAUCCAAAUUCAUUCCUAGAUAACCCAUAUGGACGAUUUUAGUUAUCCUAUAUCUCUUAGAAUUCGUCCAAAGCAUAUCCCAAUGGAUUUUCAGUCUAAAGUUUAACUAUCAAACAAUUGACAGUUUAUACCCCUUUAUUUAAUUAACUUCUUUAAGUCACCAAAUUAAUUCUAAUUAAUUCUAUGACUUAUAUUAAUCAAAAAACAAUAUAUUAUUCAUUAUAUUAUUCCCAUAAUAUUAAUAAUAUUUACUCUCUCUUAUUAAAUCAUCCUAUCAAGUUGCUAUGGUGAAGGCAACCCAAAAGGACCAUGCACAACCGGAUCAAAUACUUGCCUAAUAUAGUUGCAGCCUUAGACACUAUUCCAACAGACUCCCACUUGGAUAAGUCUAGUAACUAUAUGCACAAGUACAAUUCGGUUUGCAAUCGUAGCUCUCAAAGACGCUGUCAAACUCUGAUCUAAUCAAUCUUGUCCUUUAGAUAAGGGAUCGUACAGUCCUCUGUUAGAUAUCAUGCUGACAAUCCUAUGGAAUGGUUAGUCAAGCAUUUAGGUUUCUCGAUCUCUGAUUUAUUUGACAUAGAACUUAAUCGAACACAUCAAUUCAGUUCUGACCGGGCCCGGCACAUAAGUCAAAUCAAAUCAUCGAGCGGCCGAGAUAUCGCUUUUACCUUCUUAGAUAAAAGUUACAGAUAAACUUCGACUUAUAUGCAUUUACUUAUUCAUUAACCAACUAUACACAACAAUGCGUUUUAUAACACCAAGUUACUGAUGCGUUUUCGCAUUAUCAAUGUACAACCAAUUAACAAAUAAUAAACCAUAUAUCUAGGUUUUAAGACUAUAUGAUAUUAUCGUCUUGCGAUCACCCUUUUAUAUCUUAUUCCAUAAGGUGAUUCCAGCAAGCGCGGGUUUGUUCCAAUGCUCAAAACUAGUUCAUAAGCACUCAUGAACGUUGCAGCAACCCUUUGCUAUGUCUAACACCAUUUAGACAAUCUACACACCAAUUCAUGACAAUCUUCAUUCAUAUCUACUUCCAACAUAUGAACGAUUGUGGACAAUUUGAACAAUUCGAUUAUUCCUAAUAAACUCAAUUAUUCUGGAAGUCAAAACAUGCAAAGUGAAACAAUAGUUAAACAAUUAACAUAAGAUAGUAACAUUACUCAUAAAUAAAACUCCUUUAUUUAAUCAUCAAAUGUUAAUUACAUUUAUCUAUUACACGUUUCUAAUACUAUCUAAUCUAUGCUAAUAUCAUCCUUCAGCCCAAUACUCCUAGCAUGCUGCAAGUGCUUAACCCUACUCAGUCCCUUCGUAAGCGGAUCUGCUGGGUUAUCUUCUGAUGAUAUCCUCUUCACUACGAGUUGUCCUUCUUCUACACGAUGUCUAAUGAAGUGAUAUUUUCUGUCGAUAUGUCUUGAUCUACCAUGAUCCCUCGGUUCCUUGGUCAAGGCAACCGCUCCUUCGUUAUCACAGAAAAUCUCCAUGGGCUCCUUUAUGGCAGGUACAACUCCAAGAUCACCGAUGAAGUUCUUUAGCCAUAUUGCCUCCUUCGACGCUUCGCUCGCUGCAAUGUACUCUGAUUCGCACGUUGAAUCAGCUACGGUUUCCUGCUUGGAACUUUUCCAUGUCACUGCUCCUCCAUUUAGGGUAAAGACCCAGCCCGACUGCGAACGGUAGUUGUCCCUGUCGGUUUGAAAACUGGCGUCACUAUACCCUCGCACCUUCAAGUCAUCACUCCCUCCGAGGACUAAGAACCAUUCCUUCGUCCUCCGAAGGUACUUAAGGAUAUUCUUCACCGCAAUCCAAUGUGCUUUGCCAGGAUUCCCUUGAUAUCUGCUAACCAUGCUCAAAGCGAAGGCUACAUCAGGGCGAGUACAAGUCAUAGCGUACAUGAUUGAGCCAACUGCGGAAGCGUAUGGUACUCGGCUCAUUUCUGCUAUCUCAGCUUCGGUACUCGGACUUUGAGUCUUACUCAAUUUGGCAUUACUUUGUAUCGGUAGUUCUCCCUUCUUUGAGUUUUCCAUACUAAAACGUUUUAGUACCUUCUCUAAGUAAGUAUUCUGACUAAGUCCAAUUAGUCUCUUACUUCUUUCUCUUACUAUCCUUAUUCCCAAAAUGUAAGAAGCCUCUCCGAGGUCCUUCAUAGCGAAGCACUUCCCGAGCCAGGACUUAACCUCCUGCAGAGUCGGGAUGUCGUUUCCUAUGAGUAAUAUGUCAUCGACAUAUAGAACGAGGAAGCUUACUAUACUCCCACUGGCUUUGACAUAUACACAAGAUUCGUCUUCGCUUCGUACAAAUCCAAACUCUUUGACUUUCUCAUCGAAGCAAAGAUUCCAUCUGCGAGACGCUUGCUUAAGUCCAUAAAUGGACUUCUCAAGCUUACACACUCUAUUCGGAUGCUUCGGAUCCACAAACCCCUCUGGCUGAGCCAUGUAAACAUCCUCAGCCAACUUUCCGUUAAGGAAAGCGGUCUUGACAUCCAUUUGCCAAAUCUCAUAAUCAUGAAAUGCGGCAAUUGCUAGCAUCACUCUAAUAGAUUUAAUCUUCGCAACUGGUGAGAAGGUCUCAUCAUAGUCAACUCCGGGAGUUUGAGUAAAGCCCUUCGCAACCAAUCGCGCUUUAUAUGUGUGUACGUUUCCAUCCACGUCGGUCUUCUUCUUGAAGAUCCAUUUGCACCCAACGGUCUUACGUCCGGGCACAUAAUCAACCAAAUUCCAAACUUGGUUAUCAUACAUGGAUUGGAUCUCGCUAUCCAUUGCCUCUUUCCAUUUUGCAGACUCCGGGCCUGCCAUGGCUUCCUUAUAGCUAUUAGGUUCAUCAAGAUUUAUUAGUGUACCAUCACUAAUAUACGUGUCCCCUUCGGUAGUAAUAUGAAAACCAUAAAACUGGGGUUGAACUCUAACUCUAUCGGAACGUCUAAGAGGUAAGGAUUCGUCAAUCGGUUCAACCGGAGUUUCCUCCUCGGGUUGAGUGCCAGCGGUAGAGGUUCCUUCAUCUAUCGACUCUUGAAUCUCUUCAAGCUCGAUUUGCCUCCCACUGUCUCCUUGGCUUAUGAGUUCUCGCUCUCGGAAAACUCCUCUCCUCGCAACGAAGACAACAUUGUCCUUCGGUCUAUAGAAGAGAUAUCCAAAGGAUGUCUGCGGGUAGCCGAUGAAAAUACAUCGCUCACUUCGAGGUUCAAGCUUGUCGUGAGUAUCUCGUCUUACGAAAGCCUCGCAACCCCAAACCUUGAUAUGUGCCAACGAGGGAGCUUUCCCUGUCCACAUCUCGUGAGGUGUUUUGGCAACCUUCUUAGUAGGGACUCGGUUAAGGAUAUGGGCGGCAGUCUCUAAGGCAUACCCCCAAAAAGAGAUAGGUAGUGAAGCACGACUCAUCAUAGAGCGAACCAUAUCCAAUAAGGUUCGAUUACGCCUUUCUGCCACACCAUUCAACUGCGGUGUCCUAGGAGGCGUCAAUUGCGAAACUAUUCCACACUCCUUGAGAUAAUCGUGGAAUUCAAGACUUAGGUACUCUCCUCCUCGAUCGGAUCGAAGCAUCUUGAUUUUCCUGCCCAAUUGAUUCUCCACUUCAUUCUUGAACUCUUUGAACUUUUCAAAGGUUUCUGACUUUUGCUUGAUUAAGUAGAUAUACCCAUAUCUACUAUAGUCAUCGGUAAAAGUCACAUAGAAGCGGUUCCCAUCCUUCGUGGUUGAUCUAAACGGUCCACAUACAUCGGUAUGUAUUAGGUCCAAUAGACCCUCGCCCCUUUCACAUGUACUCGUGAAGGGUGACUUAGUCAUCUUUCCAAGCAAACAAGACUCGCAUGUGUCAUCUUCCCUAAGGUCGAAUGACUCCAACACUCCAUCCUUUUGGAGUUGGGCUAUGCGUUUCUUGUUGACAUGUCCAAGACGACAAUGCCACAAGGAUGCUUUAUCCAUACUAGUGGAAGAAUCAAUAUUCAAAACAUCAUUUCCUAAGUUAUCAACAAUCAUAACGGUUUCAUAUAUUCCAUUACAUGGUAUAGCUUCAAAGUAAAAGACACCAUUUAGAUAAGCCAAAAUAGAACCAUUCUCAUUAUUAAAAGAAAAUCUAAAUCCUUGUCUAUAUAAACCAUGAAAUGAAAUGAUGUUUCUUGCCAUUUCUGGCGAAUAGCAACAAUUGUUCAAAUCUAAAACUAAACUAUUCCUAAGCACUAAGGAAUACACUCCAAUCUUGGUCACAGGCGACGAUCUUCUGUUCCCCAUGAUUAGAUUGAUCCUUCCUUGCUCCACAUCCCUACUUCUUCUUAGUCCCUGCACAUUAGAACAAAUGUGAUAACCACAACCGGUAUCAAGAACCCAAGAAAUAGCAUGAUUAGAAUCGUUAGAUUUGAUUGUAUAUAUACCUGCGAAAGAUGGCUUGAUCUUUCCUUCUUUGAUUGCUUGCAGGUAAUCCGGGCAGCUUCUCUUCCAAUGUCCUAUCUUGUGGCAGUGGUGGCACUCUGCCUCCUUCGGGUUAGAGCAGGGCUUGGCGGGAUCAACUUUGGUCCCACUAGAAGAGGCACCAUCUCGGGCUUUCACCUUGCGAUAGUUCUUCGAUGAAGCUUUCCUCUUCUUUCCCUUCCCUUGUCCAAUAGCCAAGACAGGAGCAGCGGGCGGAUUGGGAGUAGGUGCAACAGACUUGUCUUUGAAGUUGCUCUCAGCAACCCUCAAGAGACCUUGGAGCUUGCUUAGGGUGACCUCUUCUUUGUUCAUGUGGUAGGUCAUCCUAAAUUGGUUGUACAUCGGAGGCAAAGAGUGAAGCACCAUGUCGAUCGCCAAGUCUUCACCGAAGUCAACAUUUAACUUGCGGAGGCGGUCAACAUACCUUUGCAUCUUUUGCAAGUGCACGGUAAGAGAUUCUCCAUGACCCAUCUUCGCGGAAAUCAUGUUAGUGAAAAUCUCGUACCUCUCUUGUCUCGCGUUUUGGUGGUACCUCUCCAAUAAGUCUUGAUGCAUCUCGUACGGGUACAUGUCCUCGUAGGACUUUUGGAAUUCGGAGUUCAUGGUGGCGAUCAUGAUGCAAUGUACCUUCGUUGCAUCUCGCUCAUGAGUUUCAAAGGCGGUGAUUUCGGCGGGAGUAGCAAUUUCGGGGUUGAUUUUCUCGAGCUUCUCAUCGAGGACAUACUCCUUAUCCUCAUAGCGAGCAAUGGUGCGAAUGUAUCUUAUCCAUUCGCUAAAGUUCGUUCCAUCGAAGGUGACCUUUUGGCAAAGGCUCAUCAACGUGAAAGAACUAGCAGCAGCGUUGUUUGCGUUCGACAUCUACAAUUAGAAAAGGACAAAGAUAGAUUAGAAUAAGAAUCCCUAAUUAUCACCCAAUAAGAAAAUUAGGGCUAGGAUCCAACAAUAACAUUUACAUACUAGAAAAGGGAUGCCGUAAUCUAACAUGCAAAUAAAUUGAAGGUAAGUGAAUGACGAUUCACUAAUUCUCCAUCACAAAACUUAAACUAUUAGUCCUAAGUGUUUUUGAGAAUUCCUAGGUUCGGAUGAGAUUCAUUGAAACUAUUCAAUGGCAUGUUUAAAUCUCGAUAUGCCCCUCUUGUUUGUGACUGGGAUGCCGAGGAUCACAAAGCGGGUGUGAAUUACCAUGCAAAUUCACAUGGUGCCUUCAUUGUAACAAUCACCUAUUCGAUGUGCCGGUAAACCACACACGCUCCAUCGAACUAUGAUAAACAAUGAAUCACCCUUUGCCACCUUCGCUUAGAACCAAUUAGUGUGCCGGUAAACCACACACGCUCCACUAACAUCUUAGCAAGGUGCAAAGUGUAAUUUCAUGGGAUUGCAUCAAUUCACUUUUCCUAAAGUAACUAGGAUUGGGAAAUUUUAAAAAAAUGUGUAGUUACUUUAUAUUUCUUAUUAUACUUUUAAUGAGAGGAUGAGGUUGCCCUAUCCUACCCGUUCGGCUAACGACCCUCCACCAAUCAAGCAAGCGGUGGGUGUGAGUGUACACCCAUUAAGCGCCAUUUUAUAGGCCGCAACCUUAUACCCACCUUAUAGAUCGGCUUCGUGAAUGAGGCCUACUAACGGUAAGACUAGCAUUUAGUUAUACAUAUAUAUAUUAUUCUAGUAAUAUCAUAUUAGUAUAGGGUUGUAUUUUAAAACUUUUAAAAUCUAGGGUUUGAAAUUUAAGUUGUCUAAAUUAAAACUUUUAAUCACAAAAGUAAAUUUCAAAACAUGAGGGUAGGUUUUAAACAUUUAAAACAUGGAGGAUCAAAUAACAAAUAAUUCCAAUUAACAAUUAAUAUCCUAAUUAUCUAUAUUUGAUUUAUUCAAGAUUUCUUUUAAAGAUAAUUACCAAAAUAAUCAAAAUAAUUAAUUAAUUAUCAUAUAAGGAAAUUAAAUAUUUAAUUAGUUGAUAAUUACCUUUAACUAGAUCAAGAUAAUAGUUAUAUUUAUCAGAAAAACGAAUUAAUGUUGAUCUAAUUAGUUUAUGGUAAGUUAAGAUAAGAUAAACACAAAGAAAUCCCGAAUCUGGCCAUUCCUGACGCCUGGACUCGCCGAGUGCACAAAUGGACUCGCCGAGUCAGGCCUACUCGCCGAGUCCACUUUGAGACUCGCCGAGUCCAUGACUCAGAAACCAAAAAUUCGAAUUUUGCAGGUUUGUUUCAGUUAAUCAAGCAACAAUUUACAGAAAACCAAGCUAGGCUCUGAUACCACUGAUGGGUUUUAGCCAUAAGAACUUUCCUAUGUGCGCAUGCAAAACCCUAAUGCUUGGAUCUAGGCUUUCUAAUAAACAUGCUUUGAAUCCAAGACUUCUAAUUACUAAUUAGGUUAAACAAGAACAUUAAAACAGAUCUAGAAUCAUACCUUUGAGUUCCUUGUUGAUCUUGAGGUCUUGGAGCUUCUAGAGUCACAAAUGUCACUCCUCUAAUGGCUUACAAACACCAAAGCAAAAAGAAUGAUUUAAGAGAGAGGAGAGGGGAGGAAUUUCGACCAGAGGUUCCUUACUUUAGGUCAAGUGUCGAAUUCCAUCAGCCAUAGGAUCUAUUUAUACUUGUAGACUCCUUAAGGGUUACAACCUAAACCCUAAUUGGAUAAUCUUCUCUUAAGGCUAUCCAAAUCCAUUCCUAGAUAACCCAUAUGGACGAUUUUAGUUAUCCUAUAUCUCUUAGAAUUCGUCCAAAGCAUAUCCCAAUGGAUUUUCAGUCUAAAGUUUAACUAUCAAACAAUUGACAGUUUAUACCCCUUUAUUUAAUUAACUUCUUUAAGUCACCAAAUUAAUUCUAAUUAAUUAUAUGACUUAUAUUAAUCAAAUAACAAUAUAUUAUUCAUUAUAUUAUUCCCAUAAUAUUAAUAAUAUUUACUCUCUCUUAUUAAAUCAUCCUAUCAAGUUGCUAUGGUGAAGGCAACCCAAAAGGACCAUGCACAACCGGAUCAAAUACUUGCCUAAUAUAGUUGCAGCCUUAGACACUAUUCCAACAGAGCUUUGGUCUCUUUGUAAUUUCUUAGAUUUCCAAACACAAAGUUGAGAUCCAUGAGAUUAAUCUUAUCACUGUUUUUAAGAACAUCAGCAUGAUGUUCCCAACUUUUUCCAUAGGAAUCCAAGAAUUUCAAACUAACUAAGAAGAAUGUUUGGCGACUCCCAACUUUUGCAUAUCAUUCACCAACCAUUUAAACAUGUUAAUGAUUUCAGUUAGAGAUUCAUUGUGCUGAGCAAAAAAAAAAUCUUAUAUCUCCGAUUGAGGUUGUUGAUGGUCGUAGCUUGAACUUCUACAGUGCCUUCAUAAGCCACCAUCAACGUCUCCAUCAUCUCUUAAGUUAAUUCAUAGUUAUGAACUAAAUGAUACACAUGUUAGGGAAUAGAGUUUCCAAUGGUUGUCCUAGCUUUCACAUCAAGACUGAUAAGCCUCGUGUCGUUAUUGUCAUAACUAGUCUUUGACUUUUGCUUCAAGGGACCAACAGGAACGUUGUUAACCAUAGGAUGAUACAUAUGAACGUGAGGACCCUUCUCAACAGUGUUAAGCAUCUUAUUAUCCAUGGUUUUAAGAACAACCAUAGCUUUAGUUUUCCACAUGGUAAAAUUUUGCUCAUCGAAGGGAAGGAUCUUGUUGAGAGCAGACGAUUUGGGAUUGUAAGAGGUUGACAUAAUUACUUAAGUGUAUCAAAAACUCGCUCUGAUACCAAUUGAAGGAAUAUAUCGAUCGGUUACACUUCAAGUAUAAUUAACAAAGAACCAACUAACUAAACAAAAUAAAGAACAAAAAAUGUAAAGAAUAAAAGUUAAUAAAAAAUGUCUUUAACUAAGAAAGGGUUUGUUCUAACCAAUAGAACGAAGGUCACAAAGACGGUCACGAAGACAUACAUUAGGGUUUCAACCGAAUGUUUAAUAUAUAAUAAACUAUACGAGUAUAUCCUUUCAAUCGAGGCAUUGUAUCUAAUGUAUAAUAAGAAUUUAUCCUUAUCACCAGGAUAUCAGAUCUGCUAUCUAUUCUAUACAUAUAUCCAUAUAAUUUCCUAAUAUACAAAGAUUACAUAAGAUUACUAUCUUCACGCUGACGUUGAUAAGGUCUUGAGGCGUUGGCACUGAUGUUGAUGUUGGUGUUGGCGUUGGUGGUAUGUGUGUAAAGUGGUUGACUCAUCAAAUCAUAAGGCGUGAGCUUACACUACACACACACCCAUAUAUAUACGUAUAUACAUAUUGAUGGUCAUUAGAAAGGUAUCGACGAUGUGGUUAAUAUAAGACUAAUAUUGAAUGCUUUUGAUAUUAGUAUAGUACAAAUAUCAUUAAAUAUAUUUAAAGUAGUAUUAUAAAGGGUCGUUUAGUCGUUUAAGUAACUAAAAUGGAGUUUUCGAAGAUUCAUUUAAUAUAAAUAAGAGGUCUAGCCUCUCAUAUUUCUUGCACCAUUCUCUUGAUUCAAGAUUCUUUCUAUUCUUAGCGUCUAGCAUUUCGGUCCCUUGUUGUAAGAAAUUUACAUGUGCUCUAAUACCACUUGAUAGAAUUCAAGGAACAAUAUAGAUUUUAUUUUGAUAUUGAAAUCAUGAUUUAAACAAUUGAAGGAUUAUAAAACAAAAGAGGUAAAUAAGAUCACGGUUACAUUAGAGAGUAUUAUGAGAACAAUUUGAUAUAACAAUCAAAGAACCAUUCUCCCAAAAAGAAAUAUCUCUCUCCUAACAGACAUCCCUAUAUAUAGGUAUAAGGAAGUUGGAAAGGAAUACCUAAGUCAAGAGUCUAAGACUACGAACUCAGGCUAAAUUACGAGACCUAACAAAUGCGCUAACGAAAUGAAGACUUUAUUACAUAAAUAACGAACAUAUGAAAACAAGUUCACAUACAAAACUUGACACAACACAAUAAUUCUGAAAGCCAACAAUCUCCCUCUUUGUGUCAAGUACCAGGUUGUCUUCAUUUCUCUUCAUCAAAAACUUUUAGAAUACUCCUGAGCGAAAUCAUACGAAUCGUGAUUCACCAACGCAACAUAACAAAAAUGCAUUUCAAGUCUUCUUUGUCAUUUGACUUUUAAGCUUCUUGGGAAAUCACAUGUGUAAGUGUGGCGGUCAGAUACAAAUGCUUGUCUUGCAAAAAUGCCAUGCAAAUUUCCAUUUCUCCUUUCUCUAGUGUUUUGUAAACAACUCCCCGUGGAUCUUUUUAGAUAAAACCAACUUUUAAACUUUCAAAGUUCUCAGUUUUUCCAAUCGGAAUAACAACAGGUUUUCUGUUCAACACUUUUCCAAUCUCCACAUCCAUCUUCGAAACAUCUUGUAUAUAACCUCUAAUCAUCAUUUUUAAGACUGAAAGAGACGCGCGUACUUCAUUAGAUUUCUAAAGACAAUGUUAAGAAGAAUAAUCUAAUCAUAUAGAUUAAUCAUUGGUAAAUCAGUCAGAGUAAAAUCGAAUUGUUCGUGCUUAUCACCCUUGUAGACUUUAAAAUGUACAUUAACAACCCCUUCAGCAUCAAAAGGCUUUCCAAUUUUAAGAUCAACAAAUGUCUUCAAACUCUAAGUCUCAUAUUCAAGCUUAGAUUGCUUCGAAUAGAAAUUAAAAACUUUCUUUUUCAUGGCUUGAUUACUCAUUGGCACUCCAACAACUUUCUCAAGACUCCGAAACAUAAAAGAUCUGGGCUUCAUAGGGAAGUAAAAUUCUCAUUCUUGAGAAUUUUCAACUGAAAAAGAAGUAACUGGUUCCAACCAAAACUGUUCAACUUUCUUAAUAGUUUCUUUCUUCAUUCUAGAAUCCGUCCAUUUCAGAAACAAAGCCUGCAAAGAAUCAAUUUCUUCAGCAUUCUUUUUUCUCAAUUUCUUACCUCUCAGCUCCUUCUCCCCCCAGUUGCAAAGUAGCCCCACUCCUCGAAACAUUUGAGAGUUGAUUGAUUUUUCUAAGAAACGGUUUGAGCAUUGCAUCCAUAAUAUUGUUGAUUUGUGGAAUUGUAGAACUAAAUUCCGCAUUAAUAAGUUGCGAAAAAUAAUCAACAUAUGUGGCAUCUUUGUCUUCAACAAUCUUCACCAAACGUUGAUUGAUUGAAAAAUUGCGACUCUCAACCAAAAGGAUUUCUUCAUUAAUCUGAUCCUUCAAAUUCUUAGCAACAUCUAGUUUUUGUUUGAGGACUUUAUUCUUCUUAUUCAUUUCGACAAGAGAAUUCAUCACUUUUUUCCUUGAAAAAUAUUAUUCAAGGUAAGAACGAAAUUUGACAUCGAAGUAUGAUGAUUAACAUCAUCCUUAAAAAAACUUUCAGAACUGUAACCAAGGUUAAGAAGAGUUUCAUCCAAUCGCUGGUAGAAUGACUUAAAUGACUAACUAGACUUUGUGAAAUCUUGGUUCAAGUUGGUUUCACAAAUUUUUGGAAAAACAAGUUUCUCACAAUCUCAUGGUGAUAAUGAAAUUGAUCAUAAAAACAAUUUUUGCAUAAACAUAAUUUCGAAUUGGUAUAGAUUCGCAAUAUCAAGGGUUAAACAAAAAUUGUUGUUGGCUUAGAAAAGAACCCUAUGUUUGAGUUUUCAUAUACUCAAGACAUCAUUGGUUUCCAAGAUUAGCUAAAGAAACUUUGUACCUAUGUGAAAUUAAUGACCCAACAAACAUCUCCAAACUCUAAAAUGAGUAAAGUGUAACAUCUCGACUCCUAGGUAUAAAUAUAAAGCUUUUAUAUAUUCAUAUUUUCAGACCUACUCGACGAGUUGGCUGCCUUAACUCUUCGUAUAGAAACUGAUCAGGGUGCGUGAACUUUAGAACCCACUCGACAAGUUGGAGGACCCAACUCGACGAGUUGAGGAUGUGCUUGAAAACCCUAGUUUUUAGGGUGUGCACCAUGUUUAAAGGACCUUAAGUCCUCCCUCAAGCCUCCCUUACCACCUUCACGUCCAGAAACAAACCCUAAUCGAACUAAUCUCUUAUUUUGAGUGUAUGUGUGAGGCUAAAGAGUGUGUGUUUGGUGCAUUUCUUGAAGAGACUUGAAGAUUGAGAAGCUUGGAAUGAGAAGGAGCUUGUAGAUCCAACAUCUACUUCGUUUUGGCAUUCAUUUGAAGGUAAAAAGUUAUUACCUUGAUCAUUUUCUUGUUAUACCUCUGCAUUCAAGAGUAUAGGGUCAUUUCUAGCUUAUUCUUGAGGCAUUUCUAGUAGUGAGCACGUUUUAAAGUAAGGAGUUCAUAUAUGGACUCCUCUAGGACCUCAUGGACAAAAAGUUCUCGACUUUAUCAAGAUUUGGCCCUUCUGCAUGCCCUAAACCUCUUCCUAAGACUAGUUUUAGGUGUUUUAGCCUAUUGAAGCCUUGCAUACACGUAAAGUUCACAACUUUACGUGGUAAUACACCCUAGGAGGAGGCUAGAUUUAAAGUUUAGAGCCCUGGUUUCGCUUAAAAGCGUCUGAAUGAGAAAAGGUUUGAAGGAAUUCGGGGAGUUGGUUAGGUUUUUCCCAAUCUUCUGGACACUGCAUGGACUCGACAAGUUGUUUAGUAACUCGGUGAGUUAACUCGGGUUUUCGCGGUUUUCUGAAUUCUGAAGUAACUCGAUGAGUCUGUAAGUUGCACUCGAAAAUAAGCUUGGGCCCUAAGCAAAGGAACAUUAGGGUUUUCCAUUUAACCCUAGUUGCCUAAAAUUUAAAAGCAGCCCUCUAGCUCUAAAAACGGAACUCCUUCUCUUGAAGAAACCCUAGGCCAAAAAUUGCAUACUCCUCCUCUCUCUAUACUUUCCUUCUUCCUAGCUCUUGGGUGUGACUCCAUUAGAGUCAUUACAAUUAUGGUGCUAGGCUUCCAAGAAGAUCAAGAUCUAAGGAUUGCCAGUUGUUUACUAUAACAAUUGAAAGGUAUGUGAUUCUAAAACCCUAAUUAGUUAUUUCAAAAAAUAGCCUCUCCUUUUAGGGUUCUUGUUUUGCAGUUAAAAGUUAUAUGUUCAAUAGUUAAAACAUAGAUCCAAAGUAGGUUGCAUGUGAACUUAGGAAUUAUUUUCUAGUUUAUUUGUUUUACCUAAAACUUAUCAAGGGCGACUAGUAGUAAGAUAGAGCAGAUACCCUAUCAUUCCUCGAAACAUAGUUGCAUUCACAUCAAUGCCAUUUGGAUCAGCACUAAUAGUCGUUGAUGAGGACAUCAAAGUCUUUGCCGGCUUGCAAUCAAAGAAACUAUACUUCUUCAACAUAUUUUCAAUAUAUUUAUCUUGAAAAAAAAACUUCUGAACUUAGCUUUUCAUCGGUGCACAUCUUGAUCUUCUUAGCCAUGAUCUCUGCAAAUUUUGAACUUAGAUUUUCAUCAGUGGAUCUGAAAAUGAUAUCAUCAACAUAUACUUGAGCAAGAAUGAUAUAAGAUAUUGAAUGCUUGAUGAACAAGGUGUUUUCAAUCUUUCCUCAUUUGUAUCCACUUGCAAUAAGAUAGCUCGCCAAAGUGUCAUACCAUGCUCUACAUGCCUACUUUAAACCAUAUAAUACUUCAUCAAGACGAUACAAAUGAUUUAGAAAUCUUCACUUUCAAACCCUGUUGGUUUAUUUAGAAAAACUUCUUCUUGAAUAUCUCCAUUUAACAAGGCAGUCUUGACAUCCAUUUGAUAGACUUUGAAGUUCUUAAAAGAAGAAAAAGCAAGAAACAGAUGAAUUGCUUCAAGUAUAGUAACACGAGAAACUAUUUCUGAUGUUUUGUAUCGAUCAGAUACACUUCAAGUAUAAAGAACAAAAGCAAACUAAUCUAAUAAAAUAGAAACGAAAAAGUAAAAAACACUAGAGAUUCUCCAAAUUGUCUUUCACCAAGAAACGGUUUGUCACAAAGACGAUCAUCAAGAUGAUUACAACACCAAACCGUUAACAUUAGGGUUUCACCAUAAUGUUGUGUGUGUGUGUGUAUAUAAAUAUAUAUAUAUAUAUACUAAUCUAAUCUAAUCUAAUGAAUCCCUUCAUUUUAGGCACUAUAUCUAAUCUAUAUAUAAACAGAUCCUUAUCACCAAGAUAACAGAUAUGCUAUCUAUUCUAUAUUACAGAGUAUAACUACAAAAUAUAAAACGAUGAUAUCUUCCUAAAUGAUAUCUUCCUAAUAUACAAGGAUCACUAAAAUCAUGGACUUCACGCUGACACUGAUCAUUUUGGAGCUAGCGUUGGCACUGUUGCUGAUGUUAACACUGGUGGUUAGUGUGUAAUUAUGUUUGAAUCAUCAGAUCAUAAGGUGUGACCUUACAAUUUCCCCUAUUUGAUGAUGUCAAUGUUGGAUUAGAUGUCUAAUCCCAUAACUAUUAUUGGUAUGUAGUCGACCCGAGAGUAGCAUGAUCCAUUUGGGUUGCAUAACUCCAUGACAAUUUGUUAGGAUGGACUCUUGAGAGAAGGUUUGGGAAAAACGUUGGUGUUCGGUAUAAACAGUCAUGGACUGAAGGUGUUCCAAGAUCGGAUUUGGAUACCUAAGACAGGAGGAGUCAGAGAUCUUCUGAUGGAAGAAGCUCACAAAACCAUGUACUUGAUUCAUCCCGGUAGCACUAAAAUGUAUAGGGACCUAAAACCUUAUUACUGGUGGCUGACGAUGAAGCUUGAUAUUGCAAAGUACGUUGCUGAGUGUGUAAUUUGUGCAAGAGUCAAGGCACAACAUCAGAAAACAUACGGGAGUUUAGAACCUUUACCUAUGCCGAUGGGUAAAUGUGAAGACAUUGCUAUGGAUUUUGUCACUAAACUACCCAGAACAAAGAAUGGUCACGACAUGAUUUGGGUGGUCGCUGAUCGCUUCACUAAAAUUGCACACUUCAUAGUAGCCAAUGAGAAAUGGUCUAUGGAUAAGCUUGCGAAUUCUUAUGUGAAGGAAAUUGUGAGGCUUCAUGGUGUUUCGUUAACGAUUGUGUCAGAUCGUGACAGCCGUUUCACCUCGCGAUUUUGGAGAAGUCUACAAGAUGAAUUGGGUACCAAGUUGUGUUUGAGUACAGCUCACCAUCCACAGACUGAUGGUCAGAGCGAAAGAACGAUAAAAACGCUUGAAGAUAUGCUGAGAGCAUGUACCAUGGAAUUCCAAGGUAACUGGGAUUAACACUUACCUUUGGUAGAAUUUUCCUACAAUAAUAGUUUCCACUCGAGAAUAAAGAUGACAACUUAUCAAGCUUUGUACGGACAGAAGUGACGUACAACGUCUUGUUGGCUUGAGGCUGGGGAAAAGCUGUUUAUGGGACCAGAGAUAGUCCAUCAAACUACUAGAAAGUUGAAAAUAAUCAGGGAGAGAAUGUUAGCAGCUUAGGAUCGUUAAAAGAGUUAUGCUGACAACAAGCGAAGACUGAUGACUUUUGAAGUUGGAGAUUCGGUUUUGCUUAAUGUCUCGCCGUGGAAGGGACUUAUAAGAUUUGGUAAAAGGGGAAAAUUAAGUCCAAGGUUUAUUGGACUGUUUAAAGUUCUUCAGAGGAUUGGGAACCAAUCUUACAAGCUUGAAUUACCUGAAGAACUGAAUGGAAUUCAUAACUCUUUUCAUUUGUAUUAUUUGAGUAAGUUCACGGGAGAAGUUCCCGACAUGAUUCCACUUUCGGAGUUGAGAAUUGAUAAGAACAAAAGGUUGAUUGAAGAACCAGAGGCAAUCGUUGACCGAAAGACUAAGAAGUUGCGACACAAGAUGGUCGAGCUAGUGCUUGUCCGUUGGAAACAUACGAAUGGGCCAAAUAUCACCUGGGAGAUGGAGAGUGACAAGAUGAGUCUCUACCCGCACUUGUUUGUUAAUAUGUGAUUCCGGGGACGGAAUCAUUCUAAGGUGGAGAGAAUUGUAACGCCCGUGUUUCUGGGCCAGGCAUUAAUUUUGAUUUAAUAGUCUAGGUUAACCUUUGUAACCCGUUUUGAAAUAAUAGAAGUGUAUUAUUUGAGUAUUAUGUGUUCUGUGCUUAAUUAUGUGUCUUAAUUGAAUUAAGAAUAAAACUAAGCGUCAAAAUGAAAUGAUAGAUAAAGCCGAUAUCUAAGUUUAAUGUUGUAGUGGUUGAAACAAGAAUUCCGAAUAUAUAUAUAUAUAUAUANNNNNNNNNNNNNNNNNNNNNNNNNNNNNNNNNNNNNNNNNNNNNNNNNNNNNNNNNNNNNNNNNNNNNNNNNNNNNNNNNNNNNNNNNNNNNNNNNNNNNNNNNNNNNNNNNNNNNNNNNNNNNNNNNNNNNNNNNNNNNNNNNNNNNNNNNNNNNNNNNNNNNNNNNNNNNNNNNNNNNNNNNNNNNNNNNNNNNNNNNNNNNNNNNNNNNNNNNNNNNNNNNNNNNNNNNNNNNNNNNNNNNNNNNNNNNNNNNNNNNNNNNNNNNNNNNNNNNNUAAGUUUCAGCUUAGCAGUAUGCGGCCCGAAACUCGAAUUCGAGAUCGAGUGAUUGUUGGUCGAAACAAUCUAAACGAGAAUCGAAGAUCUCGUUUAUAGUAGUGCAAUGGUGAAAAGACAGACGAAAACGGACGUUAGAUGAAGAAAUUAUGAAUUUAUAACGGAGUUUUCCAGUCCUGACCUACUAAAAAUAAUACAAUAAAAAUAAAGUCAAAAUUAGCCGACAGAGUCUUAACGAAAGUUGUAGAGCGUAGUCGCACCUACGCGUGGAUAUAAAGAACGUCGAAAACGGAGUUGGUAUGAGGAAGAUAUGAAUAUUGGAAGUUUUAUAAAUAAUUAAAAUAUAUUAAUUUUAAUAUUAAUUCGGAUAUUAUCCGAAGGAGGGGGGAAAGUCAUCGAUCUGUUCCAAACUACACCCAGCGUACCCGGAACCGCCUCAGCUACGUCACCUGACCGAACUCGAGUGCCAUACGCACGUAGUGACGUCGCGUACGCCCAACGUAAGGCUUAGUACGCCCAGCGUACCGAGAUUUACACCCAGCGUAAUCGAGGUUUCAACACCCUAUAAAUAGAUGUCGAUGGUUGCCGAUUUCUUUUGUUCAAAGUCUUCUCUCUCACUCAUUUUUACUCCGUUUUACGUGAAAGAAAUAUCCCGAAGCCCCGGUAUUAAUCCCGAGCCCCGAAGCAAGUCCCAAAGCCCGGAAGAUCCCGAGAAGUGCAAUUCCCGAGUCGAAUCUCUGCCCGCGAGAAGCCAAUUUUUUGUAAAGAUCUUCCAGAUCUACCGAAGGAUACUACUUGUACAAGCCGUAGUGUUGUCCGAUCAUCUUCUGAUCAUGUGAGUGUGUAGUUACUUUCUUCUAACGCAUAAUUAUGAAGUAUUUUAUACGAAAUACGUGUUUUGUGUAUAUUUUGUUGCUAUAUGUGUGAAUGUAUAUUCACUUUCUUCUAUCUCAUAGAUAUGAUUUAUUCUCUAUGAAAUACGUGUUAUGUGUAUGUGUCUCAUCUAUUGUUUGGAAUAUGUAUUGAAUGAGAAUGCUAUACAGGUUUUAAACUAUGUAUAAAAAUAUAUAUUUUUAGCUACUAAUAUGUUGGGUAGAACAUGGGUAGAUGGUUGAUGUGUGAUAAAUAGAUGAGAGGCCUCAAUGUUGUUGUUGUUGAUCUAGUUAUACAACGGAGUAUGGAUAACAACCACAGACUUUUUAUAGAUGGUCCUGUGGAACGCUAGCAGGCUCAUAACCUAUAUGUGUUGUGAAUGAUGUGUUCACCGGUGUACUCUAUCCCCCUCAUGGUUGCCUUUAGGACAUGUACUAUUAAGGAAACCCCUUUUCAGUAAUGUCUGUCCCGAUGAAAAUCCUAGAUUAGGUCCCUUGAGAUAGAUGUUGUUUUAGGGACGUAAAGUGAGGAUAACGGGAAUGGGUAAUCGGGUUAUUGUUGGUUGGUGAAAUUAAAUAUAAUUAUUUAUUAUGAGUUGAAAACCCUAUAUGCUCACCAGGCUCCCAAGCCUGACCCACUCAAUUUAUUUGUAUUACAGGUAGUGGCGCGAGGGCAUAAGAUGGAUGAAUCAUCAAGUUAUUUUAUUAUUAGACCAGUUGUUAUAUGUAACUGUUGUAUGGUCUAUCUUUUGUUGUUUAUGCUUUUGUGUCUGUAUCGGAACAUGACAUCCCGAGUUAUGAUUUUAUAAUGAAAAUACACUUAUUUAUGAAAUGUUGUAAAUAUUAUUUUUAUCAUAUUUUGUUUUUAGGAACAAAUUCCGCAACUCGUUUAAAUCAAAACGAUUUACUCUGAAAUUAUUUUAAAAGCAUAAAUAAAAUCGGUCUUUUCUGGCCGUGAUUUUGGGGAUGUCACAUUUUCACCUUGUUUGUGAUCCUCGGCAUCCCAGUCACAAACUUGGGAGGGCACAAUUGAGAUUUAAACAUGCCAUUGAAAAUUUCAAUGAAUCUCAAAAGUCUAGGAGUUUCAAACCAAUUAAAACCUAAUACAUAUUUCGUUUUUCAUGGUGGAAAUUGGUGAAUCAUCAUUUGCCUACCUUCAAAUAUUUUAUAGCUUGGAUUACGACAUCCCUCUUCCAAGUUAUAAAAUAUUGUGUUGUGUCCGAGCCUUAAUAUUUCAUAUUGGGUAUUAUAUUAAUGAUUUAAAUCAACUAACUUGAAUUUCUCAUAUUGUAGAUGUCUAGUUUAAACAACUAUGAUCUUCCCAAAUCCAUUGGAACAAACUUUCUAAUGAAGGUGAUGCCCCGCGAUUGGAUCAUGGAAAUCAUACUUCUCUACCUCCACCUCAUCCAAUAAUUAUCCCUAACCCACAAGUUUAAAGACUUGAAUAGUUCAAGGUCACUCAAGCCCUAUUGGCAAGUCUAUGUGCACUCACGUCUUGGAGAUGAAGUCACAUAUUGUCAAGCCGGAGAGUUNAAGUCACAUAUUGUCAAGCCGGGAGAGUUGGGUGUCAAAGUCUCAAGGAAGUUGGUUGUUGACUGGGUUCUUCAAUCACUUCCUACGUCAGAUAGUGAGUUCUUUAAGGAUUACUGUGUAACAGACUAUGACAUGACCCUUAAUGAUCUUACAUAUUUGCUUGUUGUUGCUGAAUCAUCAAAGAUUUAGGGCACUGGUAAAGCAAAUUUGAUUGGAAGAUCAACUUCCCAAUCAAACAUGGACAUUGAAAAUGGUGACAUUAAAAGUCCAGAAAAGCUUUCUCUUCCCAAUGGAAAGGGAUCAGCCAUAGUCAACCUGGUUGACCACAUGGUAAAGAGAAAGGUUAAAUCUGAGAUAGUCUUGUGUACCAUUCCCAAAAGGUCCAUAUGUUUCUUUUACCAAAAGAAGGGGAAUUGGUUGCGAAGCUGCCCAAUUUACCUGAAAGUCCAUAAGGAUGGUAAAAGUCAACAAUUUUGACUAUGCUUCAAGUAAAAUCCAUUAUCUGACUGUAUUAAGUUCCUAUUUGGAGAUUCCUAAUACAUAAUGUGACUAGGUCACAUUUUUAUGUUUUUUAGAAUCGAAGAAAGGAAGCUUAAAGGAAGUGUAAGCUAAUUCUAAUUGCAAAGAGAUGGAUUUCGAUCGCAUGAUUCGAAGAUCAGAAUUUUGAGUUGCUACUUAAGAGUUAUGAUAUAUUGCUUAGGAAUAGAUAACAACAAGUUUUUCAAAUGGAUUUGCAUUAUAAGGAUAAGUUUUUCAACUAGUUUUAAAUAAAAGGAAAGUUUUGAUUUUAUUUAUUUUAAAUCUCCUUACAAUGGCAUUUGUGAAAAUUGUUGUUUAUAUAACUCCAUUGAUAGCAAUAUUGGAAAAUAAAUUUGAUUCUUUCAUUUGUGGUAGUGUCAUAAUUUACCAAAUAAGGAAAGAGUCUCAUCACCCAAGGUUCAGCUGGAUAGAAACUUGGAAUCAUGCAACCGAUAUUGUAUGAUGAAUCAGAAUUUUCAUCUUUGGGAAAUUAAGACUAAUUCCUUGUUCACAUGUAUAUGUGAGUCAAGUGAAGGACUAGGGGAUCAGAUACACUUGGUUGUGCACUGAUCAGGUCCACCACAAAGAACGUUAAGGCAAUUUUUCAUGAUUUACUAAAAAUUUAGUAAAUAUGGUUGUGCUUACAAGUUUAAGUAUAAUUCAGAAACAUUGGAAAAGUUUCAAUGUAUGGCAGGACGAAUGAGAAGAAUCAAAUUAGGCAGAAAGAUAAAAGUUUCUCCAAUCUGAAAAGAUGGGAGAGUACUUGAGUAUCUUGUUUAUGGUUAUCUUAGUGAUUAUGAAACCAUAUCACAAACUGAUCCUCUAAGGACAUCUUAGUGCAUUUUUUUGACUAAGAAGAGGAAUCGUGAAUUGUUGAAAUGGUUGAAUCAAAAGAUAAAUCAUACUUCGUUCCAAAAACAUGUCUUAGAGUAAUACUCCUAGAUUGUAACUUGAGUGACAUAAUCUUAAGAAGGUUUAUAACACUUGUCAAAUGUAGAGUAAAAUGUUUUUUUACUCUUGAACAUUUGAAAUUGGUAAGUUGUGAUGUUUUGGAUAAAACAAAGACCAACUAAGGCCAAUUGUGUGAAGUGUUUGUCUUGAUAAGAUUUCACACUAACUCUUGAAUAUUUGUUGUCAAGUAAUGGUAUUUGACUAAGAGAAACUUAUAUGUCAAGAGGUCAAUGGGAGUCUUAAAGAUCUUGAAAGAGUUUCAAGAACUAAUCAACAAUAAAACAUGUUGUUUAUCACUAGCACACGACUUGAGGUUUGUAACCUAUCGUGUUGACACUUUUUGUUUAUGUGCCCAUUCUAGUUAAAGUUGACUAUGCAUGUGAGUUCUAUGAGUUUUUAGUUUUUUGCAUAACUACUUUGAAGCAAUGGUAGCCCUGUGUGCUGCCAGGUGGAAAGAAGUUAAGACUGAGCAAGUUCAGUCCAUAUGAGCUUAUUUGUCGCUAAACUUGUCUUGUGAUUAUGGUUAUGACAAAUUCACAUGGAUAGGAUCACAUACACCAUAAAAUCUAAGUGUCAUAAGGUUUCUCUCCGAUUCAUGAAAAUGUUGGUGAGGAAACGCUUUCGCUAAAUAGAUUUUAAGUAGAUAGAAAUUGUGAUAUUUUCAUUCUCAAAGUCGUUAGUGGAGCGUGUGUGGGUAACCGGCACACUAACAUGGACUUGUGAGAAAUGAAAAAGGUCUAAACAAUUAAGACUAUGAUUACAACAUCCCUUUUCAUAGUUCUAAAAAUUGUUUAGACACUCGUGUGAGCUAUCUAAGGAAAAGGUGUAUGAUUUUGAUAAAGUCUUAUCAAAGCAUCUCGUAUCAGAAAUCUGAACUUUGGUAAGAAAGUCAAUAAAGUAUUGAUUUCUAGAAGUCCAACUAAUUUCUAGAUAUAUGUCAAAGCUAGUGGGAGCAUAAGUGUUAUACUAAUAAUUAUCAUGUUAAUGGGAGCAUGAUUAUUAUGUUAAGUGUUAAAUUAUAGAAAACAAAAGUCACAAUUCAUGACUUUGCAGGGAUUGAAAAGUUGUUUUCCUAUAAUUAAGGGAGAGGAAAUUAUACUUCAUUUCAAUUCUAAAAGCUUAGAUUGAGAUUUUAAUCAUCUUUAGUCAAGGAUAUAUAUAUGUAUUAUAUAUAUAUAUGUAUAUAUAUAUAUAUNAUAUAUAUAUAUAUAUAUAUAUAUGAAUUUUGUGUUGGAAUGGUUCAACAUAAGGAAAUUCUAUAUAUAUUGCGUUCUCAAAAUUCGAUUAUGAUUACGGCAUCCCUCGUCAUAGUCGAAUUAUGAAAACAUGGCAACUAAAAAAUAAAAAAUAUUGUAGCAAAAGACUGGUCUAGGAUCAUGUCCUUAUGUAAAACAUCAUGAAUUGUGUCCCAUAUGCUUCGGAUAUAGGAUCGAUUUCAUGUGCUAUACUAUUUAUCCUUUCUAAGUUUUCCAAAUGCCUAGGGCAUUAAGAGGGGAAAAGGUAUAUAAUUGGAUAUGACUAAAAUGAUUAAGUGAUUGUCGAAGACAAUCUGAGGUUUACCAAAGAUUGGUUGCUCAUGGACAGUUGGAAGUAUGGUGUAAAUUUUGGAAAGGACCAUAUUGACAUAUUCUGAAAGGAGGCAACUCUUGUUCGAAAGUGAUAGUCAAAAUGGGAGUGUGGAAAUGCUUCCAUAGGUGGAAGUUAUCCAUUAAAUUUGUCUAAGGUUAUAAAACUUAAUGCAAGAAGGAUGUUCAAAGGAAUUUACUUUGAAUUUGAGACUUUGUUUCCAUGAAAUUGAUCUCCAUUUGAAUACUUUGUAAUGUCUGUUGACAAGUCUUUGUGACUUUGUGCAUAGUCAUUACAAGAGGAUCAAUGCAUAUAAGUUUAGAAUCUAACAGAUUUUAGUAAAUGGCAGGAAUUUGGAAUUCUUACAUUUACAUUAAGGGUUUGGGAUUGUGAAAUGAGAAUCAUUGGAAUUAUGUUCAAUUGAUUGAUUCCACAAAGUAAGGAUCAUAGACAAACACAGUGUGCAUACUUGGAGUAUGGCAUAACUAUUAUCUGGACAAACAUAGUGUGCAUGCUUGGAGCAUAGGAUGACUAUUGUUUUAAUUCAAGUAUAAAGUUGAUUAUUUGAAACAUUAUACAAUGAAUAAUGAGUAAUCAAUAUGGUGUUUAAAUAAAAGGUGUUUUAUUUACUCUCAAAGGUGCUUGGGGCCAUAUAGGAUUAAUAUUAUUCUUGUGUUUCACUUUGCAUGUUUUGACUUCCCGAAUAACUAGUUUAUUCAAACUCUCCAGAGUCAAUCAUACUUUGGAAGUAGGUAUGAGGAAAGAUUGUCAACAAUGGGUCUGUAGUUUGUCUAGGUGGUCUAGACAUAGUUGCAGUAUUCAUGAGUGCUCCUGGAAUAAGAUUCAAGUAUUGGGUUAAACCCACGCUCAUUUGACUCACUUCAUGGAUUUUAUCUCGAGUGAUCAUGAGGAAAUAAUAUAUUCUAUGCUUCAAAUGGAGAUAUAUGAGUUGCAGUCUAUAAGUCGGUUACACAUUGAUUAUUUGAAAAUGCACUAGUAACUUGGUGUUAUAAAACGCAUUUUUGUGUGUGAUUUGAUAAGUAUAUAGAGAAAGCAUAUAAUUCGAAUUUUAUCCAUUCCUUUUACCCUUGGAGGGAUAAAAGCGAUAUAUGUGGGCCUUUUGAUGUUUUAGUGAUGACAAACGUAAGUGCUCGGUCGGGCCUGGACUGAUUUGAUUUGUUCAAUUAAUCAGUCGUCAUAAAUCGGAAAUCGGGAAACAAAAAAUGAAUAGAGAGAAUGAUUAUAAUCCAUGUAUUUAUAAUUCGAAUUUUAUCCAUUCCUUUUACCCUUGGAGGGAUAAAAGCGAUAUAUGUGGGCCUUUUGAUGUUUUAGUGAUGACAAACGUAAGUGCUCGGUCGGGCCUGGACUGAUUUGAUUUGUUCAAUUAAUCAGUCGUCAUAAAUCGGAAAUCGGGAAACAAAAAAUGAAUAGAGAGAAUGAUUAUAAUCCAUGUAUUAGUCCAUUUGAUAUCUAGAAUGGAGGAAUAUAUGACCCCUUAUCUAAUGGACACGUCAUUGACUAGGUCAGAGUUCGACAGCGGCUUUUAAGAGCUAUUAUUGCUAGUCGGGAUCUUGGAGUCAUACGUAAUAAUAGUUUUAGACUUAUCCAAGUGGGAGACUGUUGG